GACGAACGCUGGCGGCGUGCUUAACACAUGCAAGUCGAACGGAAAGGCCCUGCUUUUGUGGGGUGCUCGAGUGGCGAACGGGUGAGUAACACGUGAGUAACCUGCCCUUGACUUUGGGAUAACUUCAGGAAACUGGGGCUAAUACCGGAUAGGAGCUCCUGCUGCAUGGUGGGGGUUGGAAAGUUUCGGCGGUUGGGGAUGGACUCGCGGCUUAUCAGCUUGUUGGUGGGGUAGUGGCUUACCAAGGCUUUGACGGGUAGCCGGCCUGAGAGGGUGACCGGCCACAUUGGGACUGAGAUACGGCCCAGACUCCUACGGGAGGCAGCAGUGGGGAAUAUUGCACAAUGGGCGGAAGCCUGAUGCAGCAACGCCGCGUGCGGGAUGACGGCCUUUGGGUUGUAAACCGCUUUCGCCUGUGACGAAGCUUGAGUGACGGUAAUGGGUAAAGAAGCACCGGCUAACUACGUG
rnacentral:rRNA from 1 species